CAGACACAGAGAGAGAGAGAGAGAGAAAGUAUUUAGUGAUUUUUAAAAAGCACUGGGAGAACUAUCCAAUGUUUUUUACUCUAAGAAAAAUUUAGAACAGCUGUGGAGGCUGGGAUCCCAGGGAAAAUGAGAAAAGCAAAAGAUAUUUGCCAAUGAACAAUAACCUGGAUGCUCAAAGGAUGAUAACCCUGAGGUUGAGGGAUACCAAGUACCUUGUCCACAAUUCAGCAACAAUGGGACAGGUGUGAUACAAACCUCUUGUUCCAUCUUGUUCUCUUUCUGCUUGACCAUUGCACCAUUGAGAGAAGUGAAACUUGGGCUGAGUCUACAAGGGGCACCCAAAAUAACCAUGUUUACUGCCAGAGGAUGAAGUCCCAAGUCAUGACGAUACUCUUCCUCAGAAGACUGUGUUACUUUGGGCAAAUUACUUAAUCUCUGUGUGCCUUAAUUCGCUCAGUUCCUAAAUAAGAACUUAUGUCAUAGACCUAUUUGGGUUAAACAAGGUAAUAUUUAUAGAGUUCUUAGAAUGGUACCUAGCAUAUAAGUACUGUUGUUGGUGUUGCUGUCAACUGGUACUCAUGGCAUGUCCCAUGAGACAAACUGUUGCAAAAACAAAAACAGAAAUAGAAAACUUUAAACAGCCAAGCCUUAGAUUUUAACAAAGAAGAUAAAAAGUUAAUUCAAGGUACCCUUUGCUGGACAUUAGGGAAGACGAUGCUUUUUUUUUCAAGGCUCUUUCUUCCUUUUUCUUCCCCACCCUGGGCUGGGGAUGCCCUGAUUUCCUGUCAAUAGGUAGACAUGGGGGUAGACUACGAUCAUGAGGGAAAGCAAACUUGCUUCCAGCAAACUUGAUUUUUCUCCUGGAGUCAUGCUAUAACUUCCUGACUAGAAACUCCACAAGUAUUGAGCACAAGGAUAAUUAAGAAAAGACCGUCACUUUCAAGGAGCCUACACCCUAGUUGGUGAGGAAAACAAGACAAGACAACAAAAGCACACAUUUCAACAGAAUAGCAUUUAUAAAAUAAUCCACAUGAUUAUCUGCUCCGUGAAUACAAAAAUCAAGGCUUACUUAUCUUUAUGUCCCCUAGAGCCUGAUAAUAAUGCUCAAUAAAUGUUUGCUGGAUUGAGUUGAAUACAUUAACAAGCACAAACAAAUAAGAGUUUGAGCAAGUAAUUGCCCAAAGAAUGUCACACCUAGGAGUGAUCACGUGGAACUCUGGGGUCCCCAUCAGAACCCUGGUAGAUGUAGGGGAGCCAGCCCCCAGCUUUCUUUUAUGAGUUCCUGAUGAGCCAGUCACCUUGGAAUCACUGAGGAGCAAUAAAAUCAAAUGGUAUAUACCAGGUACCCUUAGGCAGUCCAGAGAGUCUACUUAAUAUUUAAGACAUGUAGUAGUGAAAUGUUUCUUCCUUCUAAUAACAUGCCCUAGUUUGAAAGCCUUGUUUUCUGUGAAUGAUUUUAUAAGUAAUUUUAUUUAU
rnacentral:lncRNA from 10 species